rnacentral:rRNA from 2 species
GUAGGUGAAGUGAUUUACUCAUGGAGCUGAAGUCAGUCGAAGAUACCAGCUGGCUGCAACUGUUUAUUAAAAACACAGCACUGUGCAAACACGAAAGUGGACGUAUACGGUGUGACGCCUGCCCGGUGCCGGAAGGUUAAUUGAUGGGGUCAGCGCAAGCGAAGCUCCUGAUCGAAGCCCCGGUAAACGGCGGCCGUAACUAUAACGGUCCUAAGGUAGCGAAAUUCCUUGUCGGGUAAGUUCCGACCUGCACGAAUGGCGUAAUGAUGGCCAGGCUGUCUCCACCCGAGACUCAGUGAAAUUGAACUCGCUGUGAAGAUGCAGUGUACCCGCGGCAAGACGGAAAGACCCCGUGAACCUUUACUAUAGCUUGACACUGAACAUUGAGCCUUGAUGUGUAGGAUAGGUGGGAGGCUUUGAAGUGUGGACGCCAGUCUGCAUGGAGCCGACCUUGAAAUACCACCCUUUAAUGUUUGAUGUUCUAACGUGGACCCGUAAUCCGGGUUGCGGACAGUGUCUGGUGGGUAGUUUGACUGGGGCGGUCUCCUCCUAAAGAGUAACGGAGGAGCACGAAGGUUGGCUAAUCCUGGUCGGACAUCAGGAGGUUAGUGCAAUGGCAUAAGCCAGCUUGACUGCGAGCGUGACGGCGCGAGCAGGUGCGAAAGCAGGUCAUAGUGAUCCGGUGGUUCUGAAUGGAAGGGCCAUCGCUCAACGGAUAAAAGGUACUCCGGGGAUAACAGGCUGAUACCGCCCAAGAGUUCAUAUCGACGGCGGUGUUUGGCACCUCGAUGUCGGCUCAUCACAUCCUGGGGCUGAAGUAGGUCCCAAGGGUAUGGCUGUUCGCCAUUUAAAGUGGUACGCGAGCUGGGUUUAGAACGUCGUGAGACAGUUCGGUCCCUAUCUGCCGUGGGCGCUGGAGAACUGAGGGGGGCUGCUCCUAGUACGAGAGGACCGGAGUGGACGCAUCACUGGUGUUCGGGUUGUCAUGCCAAUGGCACUGCCCGGUAGCUAAAUGCGGAAGAGAUAAGUGCUGAAAGCAUCUAAGCACGAAACUUGCCCCGAGAUGAGUUCUCCCUGAGACUUAGAGUCUCCUGAAGGAACGUUGAAGACGACGACGUUGAUAGGCCGGGUGUGUAAGCGCAGCGAUGCGUUGAGCUAACCGGUACUAAUGAACCGUGAGGCUUAACCUU